UUAUGUAAAUAUUUUCCAGAAGUUUUUUCGGCUCAACGAUCCGACAAGCUCUCAAUUGCUUUACUGAUGAGAGAUGGUCAAUAAUGGGAAAUGAUGGGAUAAAUGAUGUCACCAACCUUGUCAACUCAUCUUCCGAAAAAAUUAUGGGGGCUAAUACCUCUUUCAUCAACGGGUUUUCAGUUGUGAGUAAUGUAGUACUACGUGCUAAGACAUCCAUGCCUUUUCUGAAUGUACCUGUUGCUGUGCUUCUCAUAUUUCUUCGAGAGAAUAGGAAGAUAAUAGCAUUGAUGCUUACCCACCUUUUGGGGUCAAAGAUGCUCUUUAAGCUUAGGGGCUCGGUUUAGCG